rnacentral:lncRNA from 1 species
CGUCUUGGCCUUGCUUGGUGGAAAACUCUGUGAGAAUUAUCCCUAUAUGCAUAUUCUCUUUAUCAGUAGUUUUUUUAACGAUGGUAAUUUCUUCCAGCAUAUUUUGAUUUUGCUUUCAAUCAGCAGAUGACAGACGGAAUUUGGGGUGACACUCUGGAUAAAGGAGCUAUGUGAUUUCCAGACAGAUAACACAAACAGGUCCUUCUCUUGCUGUGUGAACUUCCUCACAAUUUCCCCCUGGUCAUAUGCUCAUGGUCAUGGAGAAACAACCCCCAUUGUUUUUUCUUUUCUUUCGAUAAGGCAUAAUGGAAAUCUUUUGACCAUGCCUCCCCAGUAUCUACUAUCUCAAAAGUGAAUGGCUAUGGACCUUUUGGGCCGAGCUUCAACAAUAACAUAUAGGCUUUCUCUUGGUAAGAUACUACCAAGAAUUUUGUAAAACGAAUAAUCCUUGUACCACAGAUUCACGGUCAAUUUUGCCAUAGUCAUCUGACACACACAUUGACUUGUCAGAUAUGUAACACUGUUCCCAUUCUUUGGAUCAUUUAAUGGAUUCUCUUCUUCUCAAUGAUUAGUAUGGUGGGUGGAGGGGAAUUUUUGUCUCAACUCUCAACCG